rnacentral:rRNA from 1 species
AUUGAACGCUGGCGGCAUGCUUUACACAUGCAAGUCGAACGGUAACAGGCCGCAAGGUGCUGACGAGUGGCGAACGGGUGAGUAAUGCAUCGGAACGUGCCCAGUCGUGGGGGAUAACGCAGCGAAAGCUGCGCUAAUACCGCAUACGAUCUAUGGAUGAAAGCGGGGGACCGUAAGGCCUCGCGCGAUUGGAGCGGCCGAUGUCAGAUUAGGUAGUUGGUGGGGUAAAGGCUCACCAAGCCAACGAUCUGUAGCUGGUCUGAGAGGACGACCAGCCACACUGGGACUGAGACACGGCCCAGACUCCUACGGGAGGCAGCAGUGGGGAAUUUUGGACAAUGGGCGCAAGCCUGAUCCAGCAAUGCCGCGUGCAGGAAGAAGGCCUUCGGGUUGUAAACUGCUUUUGUACGGAACGAAACGGUCCUGGUUAAUACCUGGGGCUAAUGACGGUACCGUAAGAAUAAGCACCGGCUAACUCCGUGCCAGCAGCCGCAGUAAAAC